GAUGAACGCUAGCGGCAGGCCUAACACAUGCAAGUCGAGGGGCAUCGCGGUGCAGCAAUGCACUGGCGGCGACCGGCGUACGGGUGCGUAACGCGUAUGCAACCUGCCCCGCACCGGGGGAUAGCCCGCCGAAAGGCGGAUUAAUACCCCAUGGUCCCGGGGGCCCGCAUGGGCAUCCGGGUAAAGCCUUGGCGGUGCGGGAUGGGCAUGCGUGCCAUUAGCUGGCUGGUGGGGUAACGGCCCACCAGGGCAACGAUGGCUAGGGGGUCUGAGAGGAUGGUCCCCCACACUGGUACUGAGACCGGACCAGACUCCUACGGGAGGCAGCAGUGAGGAAUAUUGGUCAAUGGGCGGAAGCCUGAACCAGCCAUGCCGCGUGCGGGAUGAAGGCCCUACGGGUUGUAACCGCUUUUCCCCGGGAAGAACUAACCCCCUCGCGAGGGGGAUGGCCGGUACCGGGGGAAUAAGGGAUCGGGCUAACGUCCGUG
rnacentral:rRNA from 1 species